rnacentral:lncRNA from 1 species
UGCUCUUCCUCUCCCAUCGCUUGCGUUUUGUUCGGAUCUCUCUUACUCCUUUGCAGAUUGUUGUUUCCUUCUUGGUUCCGCUGGUUCAGCGGCGCGCAGCCGGCUUCGGCGGUGGCCGAGCGCCUUCUGACCACCAGCCACACUCGAACCAGUCGAUCAUCUGACCGAGCGUCUCUUCGGGUUUUCCACACGGAUUCGCUCUUGUCGAGAUCUGACACAUCCCACAGCCUUAUCGAUUUCUCUCGUCCUUCUCUCGUGAGUUGAGCUGGUGAUGUGGUGCCAGGAUGACCCCGGUUCCUUGGCCGCCUCCCAUACCCAGCGAGACGAAGAAGAGGAUUGUGUUUGAUUUUCUCGGCGGCCGGUAUUCCACGGGCGCACGCGGUUCAUGUUCACAUCCGCGUUCGCUCAUGAACCGGCUGCCACAUCCACCUUGCAACG